UGCGUAGGCGGUUUGGUAAGUCUUGUGUGAAAUCUCCAGGCUCAACUUGGAGUCUGCACGAGAAACUGCCGGGCUUGAGUGUGGGAGAGGUGAGUGGAAUUCCUGGUGUAGCGGUGAAAUGCGUAGAUAUCAGGAGGAACACCUGUGGCGAAAGCGGCUCACUGGACCACAACUGACGCUGAUGCACGAAAGCUUGGGGAGCAAACAGGAUUAGAUACCCUGGUAGUCCUAGCCCUAAACGAUGACUGCUUGGUGUGACGGGUACCCAAUCCCGCCGUGCCGUAGCUAACGCGUUAAGCAGUCCGCCUGGGGAGUACGGUCGCAAGGCUGAA
rnacentral:rRNA from 1 species